CAAAGAAAACUAGGGGUCACUGUGCAUCUCACUGAGCAACGAUACACUGUACCAGAAAUGGACAUUAAAGACGCUUGUGCAAUUUGUUUGGAAAAGUUGAGAAGGCCCCAUUACUGCUUGCCAUGUAGACAUGUGUUUUGCUGUCAGUGUAUUUCUUUAUGGAAAGAAAAAAUAUGUCCGCUCUGUAGAGUACAUAUAAAGUCCCAUAAGCCCAUAUCAUCAUUCACUGUUGGUAUCUCAGCAUUGAAAUCACUAAGCUACGCUGAGAGGAACAUAUUGCUUUUCAUAGUUUUGGUUAUUACGUUCAUUCUAGUCGACAUUCCGAGUUCUACUGGAAUACUACGUUCAUUGAUAUAUCCUCUCCUUCUGGACUCUAUGUGCAUAUUGUGGGAAACACUACACAUA